rnacentral:rRNA from 1 species
UACGGAGGGAGCUAGCGUUGUUCGGAAUGACUGGGCGUAAAGCGCACGUAGGCGGCGAUUCAAGUCAGAGGUGAAAGCCCGGGGCUCAACCCCGGAACUGCCUUUGAAACUAGAUUGCUAGAAUCUUGGAGAGGCGAGUGGAAUUCCGAGUGUAGAGGUGAAAUUCGUAGAUAUUCGGAAGAACACCAGUGGCGAAGGCGACUCGCUGGACAAGUAUUGACGCUGAGGUGCGAAAGCGUGGGGAGCAAACAGG